UGGGUUGUAGUUCAAUUGGUUAGAAUACGACACAGUCAUUAGUCGAGAUGUUGGUUCAAUUCCAACCAACCCCU